AACACCAGUGUGAGCUAGGGGAUCAGGUUUAGAUAAUCCAACCAUGGCUGGCUGUGGAUGGAAAGUUCAAGAAUCCAGUAGUUGCUCAGUCCCACAAGGCUGGAUGUCUCAGCACCUGCUGGAAUUCCAAAGAACUAGGCUCCAGUGCCCGUGAAGUGAUGAAUAUCGAGACAGGAUUUCUCUGUAUAGCCCUGGCUGUCCUGGAACUCACUUUGUAGACCAGGCUGGCCUCGAACUCAGAAAUCAACCAGCCUCUGCCUCCCAAGUGCUGGGAUCAAGGGGUGCGCCACCAUGCCCGGCUUUUUUUUUUUUUCUUUUAAUUCAAGGUCUUAAAUGUGAACGAGAUAUUGAAUGGGACUGGGAAUUUCCUGUAAUCGUUUACGUAACAAUUACUCCUCAUUUACAUUUCUCCCUCCUCCCAAACCUCCUCUGAGGGAAGACUGAAGUAGGGUCUCUUGUAGCUCAGGCUGACCUCAAGUUUUGCAAAACAGCUGAAGAUGACCUUGAACUCUAAAUCUUCCUGACUCCACAUCCCCAAGCUGGGAUCAUAGG
rnacentral:lncRNA from 1 species